UACGGGGGGGGCAAGCGUUGUUCGGAAUUACUGGGCGUAAAGGGCUCGUAGGCGGCCAACUAAGUCAGACGUGAAAUCCCUCGGCUUAACCGGGGAACUGCGUCUGAUACUGGAUGGCUUGAGUUCGGGAGAGGGAUGCGGAAUUCCAGGUGUAGCGGUGAAAUGCGUAGAUAUCAGGAAGAAUAUCCGUGGCGAAGGCGGCUCUCUGGUACGGCACUGACGCUGAGACGCGAAAGCGUGGGGAGCGAACAGG
rnacentral:rRNA from 1 species